UUCUAUAGCCCUACCACCCUGAAUGGGCAGGUUCUCAUCCAAUUGUAGAGGCUAAGCAGGGUUGGGCCUGGUUAGUACUUGAAUAGGAGACCAAUUCCAGAAACUUUUAAAGUGUUGAUG
rnacentral:rRNA from 1 species